rnacentral:rRNA from 1 species
ACACGGCCCAGACUCCUACGGGAGGCAGCAGUGGGGAAUAUUGCGCAAUGGGCGGAAGUCUGACGCAGCGACGCCGCGUGAGGGAUGACGGCCUUCGGGUUGUAAACCUCUUUCACCCACGGCGAAGCGCAAGUGACGGUAGUGGGAGAAGAAGCACCGGCCAACUACGUGCCAGCAGCCGCGGUAAUACGUAGGGUGCAAGCGUUGUCCGGAAUUAUUGGGCGUAAAGAGCUCGUAGGCGGCUUGUCACGUCGACUGUGAAAACCCGGGGCUCAACUCCGGGCCUGCAGUCGAUACGGGCUGGCUUGAGUGCGGUAGGGGAGACUGGAAUUCCUGGUGUAGCGGUGAAAUGCGCAGAUAUCAGGAGGAACACCGGUGGCGAAGGCGGGUCUCUGGGCCGUAACUGACGCUGAGGAGCGAAAGCGUGGGGAGCGAACAGGAUUAGAUACCCUGGUAGUCCACGCCGUANACGUUGGGCGCUAGGUGUGGGGACCUAUCCACGGUCUCCGUGCCGCAGCUAACGCAUUAAGCGCCCCG